rnacentral:rRNA from 1 species
UACGUAGGGUGCAAGCGUUGUCCGGAAUUAUUGGGCGUAAAGAGCUCGUAGGCGGCUUGUCGCGUCGGCUGUGAAAACUCGGGGCUCAACCCCGAGCCUGCAGUCGAUACGGGCAGGCUAGAGUCCGGCAGGGGAGACUGGAAUUCCUGGUGUAGCGGUGAAAUGCGCAGAUAUCAGGAGGAACACCCGUGGCGAAAGCGGCUCUCUGGGACGGUACUGACGCUGAGGCACGAAGGUCAGGGGAGCAAACGGG